AAAACAGAGUCCAUACACUUGGCCACAGCCGCAGUUUCCAUGGAGACCGCUAAGUAACAUAGCUCUGGCGGGCUCUGGUUGCUACGGCCAGCUGGCCACAGAAACCUGAGCCAGAGAAGGCAGCUGGGUGACUCAGGCGUCAUCUCUGCCCAGCCUAGGUUAGGUCCCUGUGUGUGUGUGUGCGCACACACACAGACACACACACAGACACACACAUCCCUACCGUGCUGUCCCCUCUCAGGGUUUGUGUUGAUUUUCCAGCAAGCUAGGGACGUUGGCACAAGGGACAAGUACGGCUGGUUUUCAGCACUGUCUCCAAGCCCUGGCCAACUUGCACUUGUAUCCAGAGCUCAGGACAGAGAAAACAUUCACAGCCCGCCAAGUGCCGUCACAGCAUGAGGCCUCCCCAGGAGCUGUGGUACCCACUCCUGUGAAGAUGCUGCAGUGGGGAAGAACAGCUGUGACCCAGAUGGACAUUGAGGCCACUGCAGAUGACGGAGUAUGUCACUUGGCAUGGCUGGUCCUUGGAUGAUUCAGCCUGGGGACAGCGGCUUGGGCGUUGGGAAUGUGCUCCUGUUGGAAAUGACGUCGGUGAUGACUUUUUCUGACAGGUACAGUGCCCAGUCAAUUGAACUUCCCAGAGAAGCGUAGGCCCUGCAGGGAUCCCUGCCCUGGAGACCCGGUAUGCAGGAAAGCUGUGUCUCCCCAGGGCACCCUGAUCUCUCAGCCCCACGCUGCCCACAGCUGCUGUCCUGUGUCUACCGUGGCCUGGCCCCUCCUCCAGCCCUCUCCGCUGCGCGACCAGGACAGCGCCACACAGACGCACAGCUCUGUGUAUGAUGCUUACAGCCCCGGGCUGGUGUCGUCUCCAGAGCCAGGGGCAUCUACGUCUCCCUCUGCCCAGCUGAUGAACUGCGAGGAUAGAAUGGGAAGCCCAGGCAGGCUGGCUUCGUAGUGACUCUGUGAGUCCCACCAACACCCCACAGCUCUCAUCCCGUGAGCCCCUCUCCGCCGAGGGCACCCUGUGGGGCCAGAGGUGAGGAUGAGCUCAGAACAGCCGGGCCGGAAAUAGAUUACACAUGUUUGCAAUCUGUCCCUUCACCUUUCAGAAGCAUGACUUCCCAGCAUCAAAGUGAGCUGCUUCAUCUCAGCUUCCCAUGAAGGUGACACUUCCAUGUCACCAAGCCACAGGCUGCAAGGGGUGGUGAGUGCGGAGAGGCAGCCGCAUAGGUAACCUACCGCCGUCAGAACCCACCAUGAGCGGAGGGGUCUGGACCUUGGACACAGUAGCUGGCGGUGGGUGCUGAAGACCGAACCAGGUCACAGAUCCCACCUGGGCAAGCUGUAUGCACCGGGGUCAGGGCCCACUGUCCCCACCCCAGAGCAUCCGCACUGGCAGCAGCAGCAUGGGACACGAUGGACCUGUCAGAGGUGGCGCCUUCCACAUGGCUCUGUUGUGCUGUGUGUCUCGGUCAUACGCGCAGGGCUUCCUGUGUCCUCCAGCAUGGGACAGGUUCUGCAGACACCUGGGCCGAUCUGUCAUUGUGACCAGCCGAACUGGGAUACGGCUCCAGGUGGGCGGAGCAGGAAGCAUCCCGCACACUGCCAACUCCUCAUACGAGGUCUUCCCGUGGGCACGGCUGGUACCCUCGGGCCGAGGGACACUGGUCUGGACACCCUGCUGGCCCCGAAGCUGCACCAGUCAUGGACAGGACAGUGGGCCGGGGCCACUCCAGGGCCAUCUCCUGGCACAGUCUCAGCCCUGCCCGCCAAGACACUUCACUCUACUGUCCGCAGUUCCAGCUCUGCCAUGGCUAAGCGUCGGCCACCACCUUUGCAGGAACGAGCAGCAAGGAGCGUGACACAAGGGCACCCUGAGCCAGUCGGGGCGCAUCCCGGCCCUUUCCCCCUCCAUGCUGGUUGCCGAGGCCAGCCUCCCCCUCACGAGCCCCAAUCCCCUGGGCUUCAGCCUGCCUGUCCCCGGCCGAGUUUCUGCCUUGGACCAGGCUGAUCCUGAUUCCGGGGUGCACUUUCCCUGCAGGAACGGUCUGUGCCAGUCCUAUGCUCCUUCUGUGUCUCCGGCCCAGGUCUGCCUGACUUUGCGGGUAGCAUCUUUGCUCUUCAGAAAUGUUGAACUUUUAUACAGUAAAAAUCUGACAGUUUCUUUUCCUUUUGCAGUUUCUAAAUUUCCUGUCUUAAGAAGGUUCAUCCCACACGGAGGUUAUGUAAACAUCCUCUGAGGUUCACUUCUCUUGCUGCAUCGCUCUUCCCACCGCCAGAUGGGCCUGAUCACGUCUUCCGGGACCCCGGAGUCCAGCCCAGCGCCCUGGAAGCUCUCGACCGUCAGCAGUGACCCAGCCUCACUCUGUAGCUCAUAUCCUCCCUCUUGCCGGAGCUCCCGCUGCCUCUGGGCUGUGGCUCCUGGCCCUCUGUGUGGUUGCUGUCCACCGUCCCCAGGACACCAUGGCAGCCGCACCCAGAGCCCAGCCCUCUUGUCCUCUGUAGCUGGACGCACUGAAAUGCUGGUACAAAGUUCUCACUGCAGAUCCAGGUGACAGCCUCUCAGACCGCUGGCCACACACGUGUUGCGAGGUCUCCCAGGCAACCACGAGCCAGGCAGGCUGCUGUGGGACAGCACAGGUGCGUCCACACGGCCCUGGCAGGCAGUUCUGAGGACCUAGACGGUGUUGGGAAUGUUCACUUGUUUGCCUCCAUCCCCUCGGGGGCCUAUCACUAUUUCCAUUCAGAAUGACCACGUGACCUGCAGAGGAAGUGGCUGAAGCCAAUGACCACUGACCAAAACCUGCCCUGUUCCAGCCCCAGUGAUUGCACAGCAGCCGUCCCACAAGGGUCAUCUUAGGCCUCCUAUUCUGGGCCACUGUGGCCCUGAACGGAAAGCUCACUGACCCUCACCGCCCGCUGAUCCUUUUUUUCACAGGCCAUACAUUCUGUUUGGUUUACUUGGGCCCAGCAGGAGGCUUUGAAACCACAGCCCAUCUGACCAUCUUUGUCCCUCGCCCCAAGCAGGUUCCUGGGGCCCUUGCAGGACACAGGAUGUGGACCCGGGUCCCUGGGGACAGCUCCACUAAGGAGUGUGACCCAGGGAGUGGCGCGGUGUUCACAGCAGGGGCUCCUGUGUGUGUGUUCUUGGGACCCUCGACACUUCCGUGCAGCAUGAGGACCGUGAGCUUUCUGAGCAAUCGCAAGCCACCCUUGGGCCUUUUCCACCAUCGACGAAGAGGUGACUUUUCAGAGCUGAGCACUGAAUGAUGGGCGAGCUUGGUGAGUCCCUGCCUGUCCAGAGGACCUUGGGGUCCACACGGGAUCAACCCCUCUCGGGCUCCCGCAAUCCCACAGCCCCGGCUCCAACCAUCACAGCUCUAGGCUGCAGACUGACCCCAGCAGGUGCUGCAGAUGACUUCUGUGGCUCCUCCACACCCAGCCUGGCCAGGCAGGACCAGUGCCUGCAUCAGGGGAGUAAAUCGGGCUCUGGAAGUCAAGCAAGGAGGCUGGAGCGGGAGGCUGGGACAGCAGCUGCUGAUGUCAGACCUCCCGGGAACGCAAUACCAGAGCAAUUUGGAGCACAUCAAAUAGACAAUUUUAAAAAUGGA